rnacentral:rRNA from 1 species
GGGUGAGUAACACGUGGAUAACCUACCUAUAAGACUGGGAUAACUUCGGGAAACCGGAGCUAAUACCGGAUAAUAUUUUGAACCGCAUGGUUCAAAAGUGAAAGACGGUCUUGCUGUCACUUAUAGAUGGAUACGCGCUGCAUUAGCUAGUUGGUAAGGUAACGGCUUACCAAGGCAACGAUGCAUAGCCGACCUGAGAGGGUGAUCGGCCACACUGGAACUGAGACACGGUCCAG